rnacentral:tRNA from 2 species
CGGAAUGUAGCGCAGCUUGGUAGCGCGCUCGCCUUGGGAGCGAGAGGUCCAGAGUUCGAAUCUCUGCAUUCCGACCA